GGGUUUCUCGGUCUGUUCUCUAUGCCCUUUCCAUUCUCCGGCGAUCCUCGGAGUUCCAUUGUAUCUCGUUGCGGUCUGAUCGAGAGGAUGCACGGUUUGGAAGCUCUAACGGUCAAUAUCCAUGGCGAGUACCUGGCGGCGAUCGUCCGGCAGCACCGAUCGGGCCUGCUCACCGCCGCGGACUCCACCAACCUCUGCCAGUGGCGAACCCCUCGACGAAAUCAAGAUGCACCUCUCCGCUACCGAGAAGAUGAAACCAUCUGAGUCUUCUUGAUAUCCUGGUAUCUUGAUAAGAAAGGCUCAUGGAGAGUUGUUCAGAGCAAAUCUUUGGGAUUUUGGUAUAGCCCGGUUGAUGAGUCUCAGGUUUGAUUCUUUAUGAAUAGCAAGGACAAUGCUUUUGUUUUGUUUUGUUUGUAUAAUUUUUGGUUGGUAGUUUACAUUAUUGAUCUUGUUUUCAUACUUGGUUGUAGCCUUCUAUUUAUUUUCUUAUGACUAUAAGUGUCUUUUCUUUUGUCCUAGGUCUAUGAUAUAGAGGAUUUUUUUUUUUGAUGCCUUUCAAAAUUUAUCCCAAGCUUCAUGCUUACUGCAUAUUUCUUUUGGAACUAAACCUUGCAUCUGGAAUUUGCUAGUUAAACAAAAGUCACUGUUCCUUUUUGCCUUUUAUGUGAGAUGAACUUUCACCAAAUCAAUUUCUUAAAUUCAAAAAAGGUUGUGAAAAAUGGGAUCUUUUCAAGUUGAUUUGGUUUCUCUUCAGGGUAUCUGGGGAUCCAAAUCCAACACAUUUGAAAUGGAUCAUGCUUUUCAACUAAAAACUAAUCCAAAUAGCUUUUGGUCAAAUUGGAGUAAUCAUCGCCACCUAAGAUCAAGUCAUCUGAUAAUCAUCACUGCCUAAGAUCAAGUCAUCUGCAAAUAAUAAGUAGGAAAUUAGAGGCCCUUGUCUACUAGGUUGCCCUUAUCAAACAAAAAAUUGAUAAUUUUGAUUGCCCACAUUUGUUUCACAAAUGAUAAACUAUUCAUCCAUUAUAAGUUGAGAUAGUCCGUAAUUUUACUUAUUUGUAAACAUAAAUACACAAUAAAUGUGGUCUCCAUAUGGUUUGUUGCAUUAAGGUGACAAGAUAGCAAGUCAUUGCGCAACUCGGAAAAAUUGUCAAAUUUUAUAUCAAUUGCAAUAUUAGGCACAACCACCAUCCAUCAAUAACUUUUUUUCAAAAAAUUAUUUAUUUUUAGGGCAAUAGUGACGAUAUUUGAUUGUCCAUGUUUAUUUUUAUAAUUGAUAUUACUAUUCGUCAAUCACAAGUCUAAGAUAGUCCACAAUUAUAACCUCAACUAUCAUAUGUAAACAUACAUUAGUCAUUAGGGCAACGGCUUGAUACUCCUGAUGCAUUUAGAUAUAAA